AAAAAGGUACCGAUAUUAUAAUGUGUACAAUUGUACGACUCCGUUGAAUUUGCUUGAUAUAAAUUACAAAGAUCUAAUCACCGAAGAUGCAAUUAUAUAUACAAUAAAAAGCAACGACAAAGUCGGUAAGAAAAUCAAUAAUUAUAAAGCAUUAGCGUGUGCACGAAUCAAACACACUUAAAGCACAGAAACAGGUUUUAAGAUCUGAGGAUUUUAACAUUUGCAACAGUUUGAAUACAUCUAGUGAAUACUGAAAUACACAGUUAGACUAUUGUGUACAAACACUUCGCUAUCGCAUAAGAUGUAAUAAGUAUAAUAAUAUUUAAAAAGGACAAAUGUCAAGCUGACAAAUUAUUAAAAAUCCCUCAGCAUGUUUCGAAUAACCAAUAUACAAAAUAACAAGCAAACUGUUCAUGUUUAGAUAUUAAGAUUAAAAUGAUCACAG
rnacentral:lncRNA from 1 species